rnacentral:rRNA from 1 species
GAUGAACGCUAGCGACAGGCCUAACACAUGCAAGUCGAGGGGCAGCACAUGAGUAGCAAUACGAUGGUGGCGACCGGCGCACGGGUGAGUAACACGUAUGCAACCUGCCUUCUACUAUGGGCUAACCCGUCGAAAGACGGACUAAUACCGUAUAAUACAGGGGCUCCGCAUGGAUAUAUGUGUUAAAGAUUUAUUGGUAGAAGAUGGGCAUGCGUAUGAUUAGAUAGUUGGUGAGGUAACGGCUCACCAAGUCAACGAUCAUUAGGGGUUCUGAGAGGAAGGUCCCCCACACGGGUACUGAGACACGGACCAGACUCCUACGGGAGGCAGCAGUGAGGAAUAUUGGUCAAUGGACGAGAGUCUGAACCAGCCAAGUCGCGUGAAGGAAGACGGUUCUAUGAAUUGUAAACUUCUUUUGUGCAGGAAUAAAGUGGGUUACGUGUAACCUUUUGUAUGUACUGUACGAAUAAGGAUCGGCUAACUCCGUGCCAGCAGCCGCCGUAACAC